ACAAUAUAAAGAGGGUGGACGAGAAGCAUCAGUGUAAAGACUUUAUUGGCCCUCCAACUGUACGGAUGGAACAAAACUAGGGUUAGAGAGAGGGGAAGGCAGAGAUGGUUAGGACCCACAGAGGCACCCCUUCCAAGCUGUCUCGCUUUGUUUGAGAAGCCUGGAAGACAAAAGGGUCCAACUUUUUUCUUCUUUUCACUCUCCUGCUCUUCAGUGCAAAUCAUGACUUCCCCUUCUCAUUGUUUCCCAUCACCCUCUUCUCUCACCUCUCUUCAUCAUCGUCAUUAUCAGCAUCAGCUAUUAGUAUUACAGCAAUAACAUCAAUGGAUAAAACCACCCAAUUACUGUUAAUACAGUUAUUGCUAUUUUAGCAUAAUCACUGCUCUUAGAUUCUCUUUCUUGACCAACCUUUUUCCCAUACUAACCCAAGCCCACCUCCUGCUCUUUCCUUCUAUGUGCCAUCCAAUUCCAUCACCGACCUUGCUCCUCUCUUGGCCCAUCCCACCUCAAUUCUAGGGUUUUUCUUUUCUUUUCUUUUUUCCGCCCUUCCCUUUCUUUUCUUUGCUUUUAAUUCUGAUUUGUUUGCCCUCUCGAGUACCCAUCACCCUGCUUUCCGAUCUUUUCUUUCUCUGCCUAAAUUAGCAUACUUUGUGUUGUGAUCCUCUUAAAUUCUAUGGAUUCUCGGUAUAUUUCUUCCAAUUCUAGGGUUUUUCUAGGGUUUUUCUUUUAAGAUGCGGCUUAUUGUCUAUUGGGUCGACUUUAGUAUCACUUAAUCCUCCUCCAAUUUGAUCACUGCCUUCUUUUUAUACUGGAAUCUUCCUUCUUUUUUUACCUCAAUUCCAAUUUCGGAUUUGAACUAGGUUCUCUUGCCUUUUCUUUUCUUUUCUUCUUUAGGAAUUUUCGAUUUCGCUUUCAUUUCAAUUCAUGGCUUAUCAACCGAUUCCGGGUCCUAGCUCGGGAUCGAGUUCGAGUUCAGGGUUUCAAUAUUUGAAU
rnacentral:misc_RNA from 1 species